UUGACGCAUUUUGUAUACCUAAAGUUUAUUAUGCAUCAUUUAUAAUGCAAAUUUAAAGACGUUAGGGCUUGAUUUUUGUUGGUUUUUGUAACGUAGGUACUAACCGAUGAACUCGUAACUUCAUCGGAUGAGAAGACACCCCUUUUAAAUCUUUGUGGUAGAAAUACAGAAGAAAGCAAUCAAUCAAGCAGUGGCUAUGCAGAGGUGGUGUUUUUUGCACUCGUUGAAGGUCUAAUUGAUGAUAAACUCAUUUCUGAUAGUGAGCAACUGAAGAAGUUUUUGAAAGAUCUUGGCGAAAAAAAAAAUGGGAAUUUGGUCAAAGGUGCAUGCUACAUGUUCAAGUGUUGCCGAGAAUUAACUUUGUUCUCAUUAGGCAGUGUUAUGCACAGCUUGUUGGUGGCUUGACGUACAUACAUCUGCAAUAAUCAUAUAAGAUUAAUUAGCAGAUGAUAUUAAAGGACUAGCUCAAGUCAGCGUAAUAUAAAAGUUACGGGCUCAAAUCUUAUCUACCGUUCCUUUCAAAUAGAAUAUUGAAACAUGCAUGGGGUAUAGGGGGACCGAAAUAAACUUAAUUGUAUAAUUAAUACUCCGUAUAAGAAUAUUUUUGAUACUACAAAUUACUCAUCAUAUAUAUAUAUACUCGAUUGAUUAGCUACUAAAAGUAGUGCAACUUUUUUUUAUUUUUUUUAUUCUUAAUUUUAUUACCCAAUUUCAAAGUUUAAAAUAUGAUUGGUCUAACUUCUACGAAAAUAUAAAUAUGAUAUACUCCCGAGUCCCAUUAAUUGCCUCAAUAGUUGACAAAAGAUAUAUGUGUAAAAUCACCAAACGCUACCUUCUUUCGAGAAACGAAGAGAGUGGUAAUAAUGAAGAAUA